GACGAACGCUGGCGGCGUGCUUAACACAUGCAAGUCGAACGGAAAGGCCCUUCGGGGUGCUCGAGUGGCGAACGGGUGAGUAACACGUGGGUGAUCUGCCCUGCACGUUGGGAUAAGCCUGGGAAACUGGGUCUAAUACCGAAUAUGAUCAUCGGCUUCAUGGUUGGUGGUGGAAAGCUUUUGCGGUGGGGGAUGGGCCCGCGGCCUAUCAGCUUGUUGGUGGGGUAAUGGCCUACCAAGGCGACGACGGGUAGCCGGCCUGAGAGGGUGACCGGCCACACUGGGACUGAGAUACGGCCCAGACUCCUACGGGAGGCAGCAGUGGGGAAUAUUGCACAAUGGGCGCAAGCCUGAUGCAGCGACGCCGCGUGAGGGAUGACGGCCUUCGGGUUGUAAACCUCUUUCAGCACAGACGAAGCGCAAGUGACGGUAUGUGCAGAAGAAGGACCGGCCAACUACGUGCCAGCAGCCGCAGUAA
rnacentral:rRNA from 1 species